GAUGAACGCUGGCGGCAUGCCUAACACAUGCAAGUCGAUCGGUAAGGCUCUUCGGAGUACACGAGAGGCGGACGGCUGAGUAACGCGUAGGAACACACCCUGCAGUGAGGGAUAAGACACCGAAAGGUGUUCUAAUACCGCAUACGGUCUUCGGAUUAAAGCAUUUAUGCGCUGAAGGAGUGGCCUGCGUCAUAUUAGAUAGUUGGUGAGGUAAUGGCUCACCAAGUCGAUGAUGUGUAGCUGGUCUGAGAGGAUGAUCAGCCAGACUGGAACUGAGACACGGUCCAGACUCCUACGGGAGGCAGCAGUGAGGAAUAUUUCACAAUGAGCGAAAGCUUGAUGGAGCAAUGCCGCGUGCAGGAUGAAGGCCCUCGGAUUGUAAACUGCUUUUAUAAGAGAAGAUUAUGACGGUAACUGAUGAAUAAGGGACGGCUAACUACGUG
rnacentral:rRNA from 1 species